GAAAAGAAACCAACAGGGAUUGCCCCAGUAACGGCGAGUGAAGCGGCAACAGCUCAGAUUUGGAAUCUGGCCCCCAGGGCCCGAGUUGUAAUCUGGAGAGGAUGCUUCUGGCGCGGCGCCUUCCGAGUUCCCUGGAACGGGACGCCGGAGAGGGUGAGAGCCCCGUACGGUUGGACGCCUAGCCUUUGUGAAGCUCCUUCGACGAGUCGAGUAGUUUGGGAAUGCUGCUCAAAAUGGGAGGUAAAUUUCUUCUAAAGCUAAAUACCGGCCAGAGACCGAUAGCGCACAAGUAGAGUGAUCGAAAGAUGAAAAGCACUUUGAAAAGAGGGUCAAACAGUACGUGAAAUUGUUGAAAGGGAAGCGCCCGUGGCCAGACUUGUGCCCCGCGGACCACCCGGCGCCCUCAGCGCCGGUGCACUCCGCGGGGCGCAGGCCAGCAUCGGUUUUCCUAGGGGGAUAAAGGCGGCGGGAACGUGGCUCCCUCGGGAGUGUUAUAGCCCGCCGCGCCAUGCCCCUGGGGGGACCGAGGACCGCGCUUCGGCAAGGAUGCUGGCGUAAUGG
rnacentral:rRNA from 1 species